GCGCCAGUGAUGUUCAACAGCAAGCAUGCCGCUCUUCCAAAGCGGUCGUCCGGGUGCAACUCCCGGUUGGUGCACCA
rnacentral:tRNA from 1 species